rnacentral:rRNA from 1 species
UACGUAGGUGGCAAGCGUUGUUCGGAAUUAUUGGGCGUAAAGGGCGCGUAGGCGGCUUGUUAAGUCGGUUGUGAAAGCCCGGGGCUCAACCCCGGAAAGUCGACCGAUACUGGCAGGCUAGAGUACGGAAGAGGUGAGUGGAACUGCGAGUGUAGAGGUGAAAUUCGUAGAUAUUCGCAAGAACACCAGUGGCGAAGGCGGCUCACUGGCCCGGUACUGACGCUGAGGUGCGAAAGCGUGGGGAGCAAACAGG